GGGGGCAUAGCUCAGUGGUUAGAGCAGUCGGCUCAUAACCGAUUGGUCGCUGGUUCAAGCCCAGCUGCCCCCACCA
rnacentral:tRNA from 1 species